rnacentral:lncRNA from 1 species
CUCUCCUCCGCCAAACAGUCCUCUCUCUCCUCCACCACCGCCACCAGCCCACUUCCGUUCCCGGUGAUGGCAGCGGCGACUACCAAAUCCCCACUAUUUUCAUCUCUCUCAUCCCUGUUCUCUCUCGUCCUCCCCCUCUCAUAUCUACCGCCUCCCCCGUCGUCGGCCCUCACGUGUUACCGGCAACGGCGACGACUCCAUCUUCUCCGUUACACUCCAGCCUAUCUGUCGCUGCCUCCUCCUCGUCUCCUAUGUGCUCCUAUUAUCACCGCCCUCCCACCACCAUUACGAGCGUUUCAGAUCUGACCAACACAGACUCGUCUCCUCUGUCAUUCACUCAUCUCGCUACCACAACGCAUAAACACUCAGAUGUGACUCCCAGAUCCCCACGGCGUCGACGGCGGCAGUAAGGCCAGAAAGAGAAGAGGAAGAGGAGAAGGUGGAUCUGUGUGUUUGUGAACAGAGAAGAGAGAUGAGAAUGUUAGAAGAAAGGGGCACGUGAAAUCUCAUUUUUACCCUUAACUUUUUAACAAUACUACAAAAUUGCCAUCCACAUGGGCAUGUGUAUAA